rfam:Salmo salar isolate Sally breed double haploid chromosome ssa21, whole genome shotgun sequence.
UCCCGUGUGGCUCAGUUGAUAGAGCAUGGCGCUUGCAACGUCAGGGUUGGGAGUUCAAUUCCCACAGAGGAC